rnacentral:rRNA from 1 species
GGUGGAGCGAUUUGUCUGGUUAAUUCCGAUAACGAACGAGACUCUAGCCUACUAAAUAGUGGCUGAAUCUUCUCAGUUCAGCGUACUUCUUAGAGGGACAAGGGGUAUCUAGCCCCACGAGAUUGAGCAAUAACAGGUCUGUGAUGCCCUUAGAUGUCCGGGGCUGCACGCGCGCUACACUGAAGGAGUCAGCAUGCGGUUUUCCUGGUCCGAAAGGAUUGGGUAACCCUGUGAAACUCUUUCGUGAUUGGGAUAGGGAAUUGUAAUUAUUUUCCUUGAACGAGGAAUUCCUAGUAAGCGCGGGUCAUCAUCUCGCGUUGAAUACGUCCCUGCCCUUUGUAC